rnacentral:rRNA from 1 species
GUACGGGAGGCAGCAGUGAGGAAUUUUCCGCAAUGGUCGCAAGACUGACGGAGCAACGCCGCGUGCAGGAGGACGCUUUUCGGAGUGUAAACUGCUUUUCUGUGGGAAGAGGAUGGACGGUACCACAGGAAGAAGCCCCGGCUAACUACGUGCCAGCAGCCGCGGUAAUACGUAGGGGGCGAGCGUUGUCCGGAGUUACUGGGCGUAAAGGGCACGCAGGCGGUGCGGCGCGUUUCGCGUGACAGCGGAGGGCUUACCUCUCCGAGGAUGCGAAAGACGGCGGCACUUGAGGGCCAGAGAGGGACACGGAAUUCCGGGUGGAGUGGUGAAAUGCGUAGAGAUCCGGAGGAACACCGAAGGCGAAGGCAGUGUCCUGGCUGGUGACUGACGCUGAGGUGCGAAAGCUAGGGGAGCGAACGGGAUUAGAUACCCCGGUAGC